rnacentral:lncRNA from 1 species
UGAACUUGAGAUGCACCACAGCAGUUGUGCUGGAAACUGCUAAGUACUGCGCGAAAGAAAAAUCAACCGCAUAAAUUUAUAUAGAUGGAUAGAUAUCCCAAACUCGCCAAAAAAAAAAAAAAAGGUUAUAUAUUGCCAAAGUAUAAUACCUCGUCUCAUCUCAUAAACAUAUAUAAAUUACAUUCAACCACAAUCUUUAAGCCACUGUUUU